rnacentral:lncRNA from 1 species
AAUAUAAAAUAGGACAUUAGCUAUAAUUACUCCGAUAUGAAUCCUCAAUUCUACUCCGAGUCCAACAAGGGCUUACAAUUAUAACUCUGCAACAAAUCUUCAAUGUUACUCUCCGUCCUAUAUGAGGAAAUUCAAAGGAAAUUCACUAGUCAGGAGUUAAAUAAAAAUGACAGUGGCUGAGAUCUAGCAGAUAAAUCUGGACAAAGUGUGACUUUAUCAAGAUCAAUAAAGAGGGAAUUGCAGUCGAGUUAAUGGCCAUAUAUGAGACCUUAAGAGUCAGAUCAACUUUUUUGUUAGCGAUUUUGUCAAUAAUGGAAGCGACCCGAAGAGCAACUAUUGCUGAAUUAGCUUGAGGAGGAAACGGCGCCAGGCCUAUCAUCGCCUCCUCCAGGUAAGCCAGGAACAAGUAUGGCGAAGUCAACAGUAGGCUCCAAAACCUCAAAGCCACCAAAAGAAGACCCAAUAUUUCUAGUCGGUAUAAUAGUACUUGACACGGUGAUCACGAAUCUAUUUCCCAACUACAGAAUGCAGCCUUCUUGUACAUAUUUUAUACACCUCUAUUUAUAACAAUAGCAAAAAUUUACCACGCUAGAACAUGCCAUUUUAUUUUUAAGCAAUCAUUCAAGAAGAAAUCAAAAAGGAUUCAUUUAUUGUAGUCCAUUCCGAUAAAAGGCUUGAAUAUUAUAUCAACUCUUGUAUAAUAUAUACUAUUAUUUUUCUUUAA